CGAUCCAACGCCAAAUUACCUGCCAAAUAGGUGAAUAUCGCGAACUCAGCGUAAUAUUACCGCCACCAUCAGUAAUAUUGCUUCAUAAUGCAUGCUGCUGUAAAUGUCAACAAAGCCGGCAGUCAGUUCAGUUUUCACUCCAUUCUGUUCACAUUGAAUACGAUUAUAAUUUGAACUAAUUGCUUUUUAAAAACUAAAUUAAGUGGAUAGGAAGUUAUUGAAAUGUGCAAACAGUGUUUCUGACCUGGAAGUGGGAGAAAAUCUGUUCAUGGAGAGGCAAAUAUCGAAAGGAUGCUAGAGCUGCAGGAUUUGUUCAUACCUACGAUGAAUUCGUUCACACCUUCAAUGCCGGAAUUGAAUUGUGCAGAUUCAAAAUCGUCCUGGAUAAUCGAUCCAGGAACCGAUCUCUCUGCAAUCAUACGUCAUACAGAGCCAUACUGUUGCGUCGUGAUCAUGCACCUUACCUCAACUUUUUAAAGUAUUUCGAACGGAUCAAAAGCAGGAAAAAUAAAACCGAGCAGGCACAGGACAAAACUGCUGGGUUCAUGUUUCCACCCACUAUCCCGUACAAGAGCAAUCAAGUGGACUGCGAAUAACAGAAGGAGUUGCGAAGCAAUGCAAACAUGCGUUGACUUGUGGGAAGACG